AAACAUGUCUUUUUGAUUAUAAUUUAAAGUCUGACCUGCCCUAUGAAUAAGUUAUUUUUAAAUGGCUGCGGUACUCUGACCGUGCAAAGGUAGCAUAGUAAUUAGUUUUUUAAUUGGGAACUGGUAUGAAAGGUCGAACGAGAAAAAGACUGUCUCAAUUUAAUUUGAAUUAGAAUUUUAUUUUUAAGUAAAAAAGCUUAAAUAUUUUUAAAAGACGAGAAGACCCUAUAGAGUUUUAUAUAAUUUAGUAUUUUUGAAAGUUAAAGAAUUUUAGAUUUAAUUUUAUUAAAUUAUAUUUGGUUGGGGCAAUUAAAAAAUUAAAGUAAUUUUUUUUAAAUUAUAACAUUGAUAUAUGAUUAAGUGAUCCAUAAUUUAUGAUUAAAAGAUUAAAUUACCUUAGGGAUAACAGCGUAANUUUUUUUUAGAGUUCUUAUCGAAAAAAGAGUUUGCGACCUCGAUGUUGGAUUAAAAUUUACUUUUGGCGCAGCAACUAAAAGGAUUAGGUCUGUUCGACCUUUAAAAUUUUACAUGA
rnacentral:rRNA from 1 species